rnacentral:rRNA from 1 species
UGUAGCGAGAAUUAUGUGAGAAUCAUAAUGGCCGAAAAUCUAAGGUUUCUUGGGGAAGGUUCGUCCGCCCAAGGUUAGUCGGGAGCUAAGCUCAGGCCGAAAGGCGUAGGCGAUGCACAUACGGUAGAAAUUCCGUAACCACCGAACAUUUAAGCUAGAGGGACGCUUUUAUUAAGUCUAUCCCGGGCGAUGGUUGCCCCGGGCGUAAGGGACCGAAAUUUAGUAGGGAAGUAGACGGCGUGAGAGACGAGAAAAGCUCUAGUGUAUACUAAGGUGCCCGUACCGCAAACCGACACAGGUAGAUGGGAUGAGUAUUCUAAGGCCAACGGGAGAAGGGUUGUUAAGGAACUCGGCAAAUUGGCCCCGCAACUUCGGGAUAAGGGGCGCCUGCGAGAGCAGGCCGCAGUGAAAAGGCCCAAGCGACUGUUUAGCAAAAACACAGCUCUCUGCUAAAUCGAAAGAUGACGUAUAGGGGGUGACGCCUGCCCGGUGCUGGAAGGUUAAGGGGAGUGCUUAGCGCAAGCGAAGGUGCGAACUUAAGCCCCAGUAAACGGCGGCCGUAACGAUAACGGUCCUAAGGUAGCGAAAUUCCUUGUCAGGUAAGUUCUGACCCGCACGAAUGGCGUAACGAUUUGGGCACUGUCUCAACAGCCCGCCCGGCGAAAUUGUAGUACCGGUGAAGAUGCCGGUUUCCCGCAACUAGACGGAAAGACCCCAUGGAGCUUCACUGUAGCUUGAUAUUGGAUCUCGGUAUUCCAUGUACAGGAUAGGUGGGAGGCUAGGAAGCGAGCGCGCCAGCGUUCGUGGAGCCAACCUUGGGAUACCACUCUUGGGAUAUUGGGAUUCUAACCUGCGACCAUGAAUCUGGUCGGGGGACACUGUCAGGUGGGCAGUUUGACUGGGGCGGUCGCCUCCAAAAGAGUAACGGAGGCGCUCAAAGGUUCGUUCAGCACGGAUGGAAAUCGUGCACUGAGUGUAAACGCAUAAACGAGCCUAACUGCGAGAAUGACGGUUCGGGCAGUAACGAAAGUUGGAGUUAGUGAUCCGGCGGUAUGUGAAUGGAAAUGCCGUCGCUCAACGGAUAAAAGCUACCCUAGGGAUAACAGGCUGAUCUCCCCCAAGAGUCCACAUCGACGGGGAGGUUUGGCACCUCGAUGUCGGCUCAUCGCAUCCUGGGGCUGAAUUCGGUCCCAAGGGUUUGGCUGUUCGCCAAUUAAAGCGGUACGCGAGCUGGGUUCAGAACGUCGUGAGACAGUUCGGUCCCUAUCUGUUGCGGGCGCAGGAAUAUUGAGAGGAGCUGUCCUUAGUACGAGAGGACCGGGAUGGACGUACCGCUGGUGCACCAGUUGUUCUGCCAAGGGCAUAGCUGGGUAGCUAAGUACGGACGAGAUAAACGCUGAAGGCAUCUAAGCGUGAAACUCCCCUCGAGAUAAGUGUUCCCAUCCUUCGGGAGUAAGGCCCCUUGUAGACUACAAGGUUGAUAGGUCAGGAGUGGAAGUGCAGUAAUGUAUGGAGCGGACUGAUACUAAUAGGCCGAGGGCUUGACU